rnacentral:lncRNA from 1 species
AGAGGCGAGGCAGCCGUGAGGCGGAGGACAGGCUGGGGGAUCCCAAAGGGUCCGCUCCGGCCCCCACCCCAGGCACUGGGACUCUGGUGGCACCCUGGGUGGCAGGCAAGCCUUGAAGUCAAGUGCACGAGCCUUGGAAAGGAGGACCGGGAGAGUUAUGGCAUUUAUGAAUGAAGAAGAGAAAGAAUCACUCGGAGGGGAAAAGUUAACUGGAUUGUUCCCAACUGCAUGGAUCACCGGGAUGAAGCUGUGCCACCCUGUAGGAAUUAGAAGACCAUGUCCAGGAAUUGAGCACUGGGUGCAGGAUCCAGUCUUCUCAGGCCCUGAAUCCACAUGAAGCAACUUAGCCAUCUUGCCUUGUGGCCUGGAACCCCUGGCAAUUUCCGGAGCACCAGCAAGAGACUUUUGCACAGUUUCUGCUUGGAGUCUACCGACUCUCUGUCUCAGAGGUCUGGACAGCUACUUGUUAUAUUUGGCUCACGCUAGCUUAAAAAAGGAAUUUAUGGACCUUACUGCAGAACUUCCCAAUUCUUCAGGCCAGGUGCCUGUGUU